rnacentral:lncRNA from 1 species
AUCCUGAUAAAGUGUCUGUGGGAGCAGAUUGCAAGUUGUUCUGAUGAAGAAGAGGCACUUUGUUUAACAUGAAAUUUCACCACAUGGUUUAUUUCUCAGUUCUCUUUGUAAUAGAUGUACAGAGUUUGGCCAAAGGUCAGGCAAGCUCUAGAAGGACCAUCAGUGUGUUUCACUCUCAUUUAGAAUGUGAAAUAGGUCUGGAAAAUAUUAAAG